CCUCUAGCUCACAGUUACUUACUGACUGUAAACAAGCAUGACGGUUGAUACGCGCUGCGAUUGCAUCAUCAUUGUUAGCCGAUUAUUUCGCCCUGAUUUCGGUUGCAUUUCGGCAAAUCGACAACAUCAACAGAUACUUGGACGGAUGGUCGAUGUUCCUGAUAUUCCGAAAGGCUUCUACCGCAUCCCGCCCUGAUGUCCUGGUUGGAAAUAGCUGCCUGUACACGAUGGCCAUCCGGUUAUAAGCCUGGAAAACUUAACUAAACAUCGCCCGCAGAUUAUCCAGAGUUGUGUGCUGUUGGUUCGAUUUGCUUUUGCUACCGACAUGGAAUGCGCUGGGACUAUGAACUCCUGCAGAGAUGAAAAGCAACGAACCCACAUGUUCUUGCAGGAAGCGCGCUGGACGACAUUGGUAUAGGGAUAAUUUGUGGUAAUCUUUGUAUGUUUAAUGGCUAUAUUUUAUGAUAAAUUUUGUGUUUAUACCUUGAAAAUUAAUUUUAACAAAGUUCAA